AGAUUGAACGCUGGCGGCAUGCCUAACACAUGCAAGUCGAACGGGAGUAGCAAUACUCUAGUGGCGGACGGGUGAGGAAUACGUAGGAAUUUGCCCUUAAGUGGGGGAUAACCCGGGGAAACCCGGAUUAAUACCGCGUGACCUCGAAAGAGCAAAGUGGGGGAUCGCAAGACCUCACGCUUUUGGAGAAGCCUACGUCGGAUUAGCUAGUUGGUGAGGUAAUGGCUCACCAAGGCGACGAUCCGUAACUGGUCCUGAGAGGAUGAUCAGUCACACCGGAACUGAGACACGGUCCGGACUCCUACGGGAGCAGCAGUAGGGGAAUAUUGGACCAGUGGGCACGAAGCCUGAUCCAGCAAUGCCGCGUGUGUAGAAGAAGGUCCUUGGUAGUAA
rnacentral:rRNA from 1 species